UGAGCCACAGCCACCCCCCGCCUCUGCAGGAGACCCUCCAACACUAGCAGGGAACUGAUAACCUGGUGUCUAAAGUGUGUAGAGAGAAUCGUGGAAGAAACUUCAGGAGAGGAAGAAACAAGGCCAUCAAAACCUUCAAAGCGAAAAAGGAAUAAUGUUGAGUUGGAGAAUGCUCCCUCAUCUAUAAAAUAUGUGCACCAGCCGUUCUUGUGUGCUGAGUGUGUGUGAGGCACCAGACUCUUAACACACCUUAUCUCAUUUGAUCUUCAUGAAACCGGGUGGCAUUAUCAGUUGCAUUUUGUCAAUGAGGAAGCUGACUUUCAGAGAGAUGAGAUGAUUUACCUGUGGUCACCGUGAGGAGGCCACAAUCAGAAGCCCAGACAGAAAAGAGCAUCAUGGACUAUGGCCUGGGGCCUUCAACAACCAGGAAAAAGAGAAGCCCAGAAAAGAGACAGAGGAGUGGCCAGUGAAAUGAGGAAGAUCAGAAAAGCCUGAUGUCCAGGAAGCCAAGUGAAGAAAGUAGAUUCUGUAUGAUCACAACCACAUGUCAACUCCUGAGCCUCAGUUUUCUCAUCCAUGAAAUGGUGAGAGUAACAACUGCCCACUUCAUGGUGUUGUUAGGAUUGAGGCAAUGUAUGUAAAGCAGUUAACACUUGUGUCUGACUGGUAUAUAGGAAACUCUCAGCCUAUGGUAGCAUUGUUAUUAUUUCCUCCACUUCAGAGUAGGCUGCCACAGCCCUCAGCUUCCCCAUCCACAUAAGUGACAGCACCUCCAUGAGUCCUUCUCAGAAAUGAGGUGUCCCUGCUCACUCAGGCAACCAGAUGGGCCUGACGAGUGGCCUCUGGGUCAAAUUUGAACCAAGUGACUUCAGUGCCUAAACCUCUCACCCACACAGCUUCCAGCCCUUACUUGCAAAUCAACAAGUGGUAAAUAAAGGUUUUAGAGCCA